AUUUCACUGGUUGCCAAAACCAAACAGGCCCUGCUCAUGAUAGCUUCUGAGGAACAGUGAUAACAACAACAGGUUGAUCCCUCAGCAAGUCUUAAGAUGGUCGCUCACUCCUCAAAUAAAACCAA
rnacentral:lncRNA from 12 species